UUACGGCCACAAUCAGAUUGAAACAUUGGUUCCCGCACAAUCACCGAAGUUAAGCAACACGGAGCCUGGUCAGUACUUAAAUGGGUAACCACUUGGGAAUAACAGCUGCU